rnacentral:rRNA from 1 species
AUUGAACGCUGGCGGCAGGCCUAACACAUGCAAGUCGAGCGGAUGAAGGGAGCUUGCUCCUGGAUUCAGCGGCGGACGGGUGAGUAAUGCCUAGGAAUCUGCCUGGUAGUGGGGGAUAACGUCCGGAAACGGGCGCUAAUACCGCAUACGUCCAGAGGGAGAAAGUGGGGGAUCUUCGGACCUCAAGCUAUCAGAUGAGCCUAGGUCGGAUUAGCUAGUUGGUGGGGUAAAGGCCUACCAAGGCGACGAUCCGUAACUGGUCUGGGAGGAUGAUCAGUCACACUGGAACUGAGACACGGUCCAGACUCCUACGGGAGGCAGCAGUGGGGAAUAUUGGGCAAUGGGCGAAAGCCUGAUCCAGCCAUGCCGCGUGUGUGAUGAAGGUCUUCGGAUUGUAAAGCACUUUAAGUUGGGAGGAAGGGCAGUAAGUUAAUCCCUUGCUGUUUUGACGGUACCAACAGAAUAAGCACCGGCUAACUUCGUG